rnacentral:tRNA from 1 species
GUGUGCAUAGUGUAACAAACACGUCAGCUUUUCAUGCUGAAAAUAUAUAGUAAUAUUACACAC